rnacentral:lncRNA from 1 species
GCAGGUUUUUGUACUGACCUUCAGAGAGUUGAUCCUUGUGCAAUGGCGCCUUCCAGGAAGUUCUUCGUCGGGGGCAACUGGAAGAUGAACGGGAGGAAGAAAUGCCUGGGAGAACUCAUCUGCACCCUGAACGCAGCCAAGAUGCCGGCAGACACCGAGGUGGUUUGUGCACCGCCAACCGCCUACAUCGACUUCGCCAGGCAGAAGCUGGAUCCCAAAAUUGCUGUGGCUGCACAGAACUGCUACAAAGUGACCAAUGGGGCCUUCACUGGGGAAAUCAGCCCUGGCAUGAUCAAAGACUUAGGAGCUACCUGGGUGGUGCUGGGACACUCUGAAAGAAGACACAUCUUUGGGGAAUCAGACGAGUUGAUUGGGCAGAAAGUGAACCAUGCCCUAUCCGAGGGACUCGGAGUGAUCGCCUGCAUUGGGGAGAAGUUAGACGAAAGGGAAGCUGGCAUCACUGAGAAGGUUGUUUUUGAGCAAACCAAGGCCAUCGCAGAUAAUGUGAAGGACUGGUCCAAGGUGGUCCUGGCCUAUGAACCGGUAUGGGCCAUUGGGACUGGCAAGACUGCAACCCCUCAACAGGCCCAGGAAGUACACGAGAAGCUCCGGGGAUGGCUGAAAUGCAACGUCUCUGAGGGGGUGGCUCAGUGCACUCGGAUCAUUUAUGGAGGUUCUGUAACUGGAGCGACUUGCAAAGAGCUGGCAAGCCAGCCUGAUGUGGAUGGCUUCCUCGUGGGCGGUGCAUCUCUCAAGCCUGAAUUCCUGGACAUCAUCAAUGCCAAACAAUGAGCACUGCUCAUCCCCCUACCUUCCUGCGUAGCCUGGACCAGGUUGCCCAGAAGUUUAGUAACUGCUCCCGCCAGUCACAUGCUUCUGAUGACAUCAUCAACUCCAUCUUGUGACCUAAUCCAUACUGUACCUUCCUGAGUCUCUUACCUCCCCAUAAUAGUUGGGACCAGGCCAAUCCCUUUACCACUUACAAUGGGUAAAAUCAAAUAUGUCACCAAGAUGGCUUCCUGAGGAGGGGAAGGAGUAGAACUGGCUGUCCCUUUGGGCCCUAAUGGGUGAAAACGGCCUUCCAUUGGUUUGGGAUGGAAACUCACGGCUGGACCACAGGAAGUAGGCUUCUUGUCACUUUGGCCUGUCACUUAGAUGGCCUUGGCUCUAGCUUCACUCCCAAGCCCUACUGGAUGUGUGAUGCAGAGAUUCAGAGUCUUCGGGUCUGAAUUUCAGUGUACAUUAAGGCCAAGAUCCUCUUCCUCUUAGAGGCCUGGGAUAUCCCCUCCCCCGCAGUGCCGAAGCCCUUGUAUUGUGUUUGUGAACCAUCCUACGUAUAAGGGAAAUAAACACCUGGGCCUAAAAAAAAAAAAAAAAAA